CGUAGGCGGUGCGGUAAGUCACCUGUGAAACCUCCGGGCUCAACUCGGAGCCUGCAGGCGAAACUGCCGUGCUGGAGUGUGGGAGGGGUGCGUGGAAUUCCCGGUGUAGCAGUGAAAUGCGUAGAGAUCGGGAGGAACACCUGUGGCGAAAGCGGCGCACUGGACCACAACUGACGCUGAGGCGCGAAAGCUAGGGGAGCAAACAGGAUUAGAUACCCUGGUAGUCCUAGCCCUAAACGAUGGAUGCUUGGUGUAGCCGGUACCCAAUCCGGCUGUGCCGCAGCUAACGCGAUAAGCAUCCCGCCUGGGGAGUACGGUCGCAAGGCUGAA
rnacentral:rRNA from 1 species